UACGUAGGAGGCGAGCGUUGUCCGGAGUUACUGGGCGUAAAGGGUGCGCAGGCGGCCCGACAGGUGUGUGGUGAAAUCUCCCGGCUUACCUGGGAGGGGGCCACGCAAACCGUUGGGCUUGAGGCUCGGGGAGGGGCGUGGAAUUCCGGGUGUAGCGGUGGAAUGCGUAGAGAUCCGGAAGAACACCGGUGGCGAAGGCGGCCUGCUGGGCAGUUUAGCUGACACUGAGGCGCGACAGCGUGGGGAGCAAACAGG
rnacentral:rRNA from 1 species